rnacentral:rRNA from 1 species
ACACAUGCAAGUCGAACGGCAGCACAGGAGAGCUUGCUCUCUGGGUGGCGAGUGGCGGACGGGUGAGGAAUACAUCGGAAUCUACUCUGUCGUGGGGGAUAACGUAGGGAAACUUACGCUAAUACCGCAUACGACCUACGGGUGAAAGCAGGGGACCUUCGGGCCUUGCGCGAUUGAAUGAGCCGAUGUCGGAUUAGCUAGUUGGCGGGGUAAAGGCCCACCAAGGCGACGAUCCGUAGCUGGUCUGAGAGGAUGAUCAGCCACACUGGAACUGAGACACGGUCCAGACUCCUACGGGAGGCAGCAGUGGGGAAUAUUGGACAAUGGGCGCAAGCCUGAUCCAGCCAUACCGCGUGGGUGAAGAAGGCCUUCGGGUUGUAAAGCCCUUUUGUUGGGAAAGAAAUCCAGCUGGCUAAUACCCGGUUGGGAUGACGGUACCCAAAGAAUAAGCACCGGCUAACUUCGUGCCAGCAGCCGCGGUAAUACGAAGGGUGCAAGCGUUACUCGGAAUUACUGGGCGUAAAGCGUGCGUAGGUGGUCGUUUAAGUCCGUUGUGAAAGCCCUGGGCUCAACCUGGGAACUGCAGUGGAUACUGGGCGACUAGAAUGUGGUAGAGGGUAGCGGAAUUCCUGGUGUA